rnacentral:rRNA from 1 species
UGGGGAAUUUUGGACAAUGGGGGAAACCCUGAUCCAGCCAUGCCGCGUGAGUGAAGAAGGCCUUCGGGUUGUAAAGCUCUUUCGGACAGAAAGAAAUCGGACGGGUGAAUAAUCCGUCUGGAUGACGGUACUGUAAGAAGAAGCACCGGCUAACUCCGUGCCAGCAGCCGCGGUAAUACGGAGGGUGCAAGCGUUAUUCGGAAUUACCGGGCGUAAAGCGCGUGUAGGCGGCCCUGCAAGUCUGAUGUGAAAGCCCCGGGCUUAACCCGGGAAGUGCAUUGGAAACUGCAGGUCUUGAGUACUGGAGAGGAUGGGGGAAUUCCCGGUGUAGAGGUGAAAUUCGUAGAGAUCGGGAGGAAUAUCAGUGGCGAAGGCGCCCAUCUGGACGGUAACUGACGCUGAGACGCGAAAGCGUGGGGAGCAAACA